GAUGAACGCUGGCGGCGUGCUUAACACAUGCAAGUCGAACGAAGCACCUUGAUUUGAUUCUUCGGAUGAAGAUCUUGGUGACUGAGUGGCGGACGGGUGAGUAACGCGUGGGUAACCUGCCUCAUACAGGGGGAUAACAGUUAGAAAUGACUGCUAAUACCGCAUAAGACCACAGCACCGCAUGGUGCAGGGGUAAAAACUCCGGUGGUAUGAGAUGGACCCGCGUCUGAUUAGGUAGUUGGUGGGGUAACGGCCUACCAAGCCGACGAUCAGUAGCCGACCUGAGAGGGUGACCGGCCACAUUGGGACUGAGACACGGCCCAAACUCCUACGGGAGGCAGCAGUGGGGAAUAUUGCACAAUGGGGGAAACCCUGAUGCAGCGACGCCGCGUGAGCGAUGAAGUAUUUCGGUAUGUAAAGCUCUAUCAGCAGGGAAGAAAAUGACGGUACCUGACUAAGAAGCACCGGCUAAAUACG
rnacentral:rRNA from 1 species